UACGAAGGGGGCUAGCGUUGCUCGGAAUCACUGGGCGUAAAGCGCACGUAGGCGGAUUGCUAAGUCAGGGGUGAAAUCCUGGAGCUCAACUCCAGAACUGCCUUUGAUACUGGCAACCUUGAGUCCGGGAGAGGUGAGUGGAACUGCGAGUGUAGAGGUGAAAUUCGUAGAUAUUCGCAAGAACACCAGUGGCGAAGGCGGCUCACUGGCCCGGUACUGACGCUGAGGCACGAAAGCGUGGGGAGCAAACAGG
rnacentral:rRNA from 1 species